UGCACCACCAGCAGAGCAGCCACAGCCUUACGGGAUACCAUCUUGGAGCUGGACAAUGACAAGGAGCUCUUGUCACUAAGUUUGGGGUACAGUGGCAGACUGCUGUGUCCAAGGCAGGGGCCCUCAGUUCUGGCCCAUGCCCUACCUCCAGCUGUGUGGUCUUCAGCCAAAGCUCAGCCUGUCUGGAUUUGGGCCUGGUAUCAGAGCUUGAGCAGAUGAGCUCUGAGCACCUUUCUGCCCCAGAGCUGUGGCAGCUGGCCAAGCUCCUGGGAAAGGCCAUCCAGCUCCCUGCCACACACCAGGGAGGAAUCAUUUCACUUGUCCACUCUUCUCUUUUGUUACAGGUGAGGUCUUCUGGGGUCAGCUGGACUCAUAAGGCAGGAGGGACCUCAUCUUUCAGAGAAGGAAUGCCUAGAUUAUCAACAGAACUGUGCCCCAAGACCCAGAGAGACCUCCCUGCCCCAGUGCCUAUUAGAAUGACAAAAGGGGUGGACCCAAGCCCAGAUGACCAGGGCUCUGCCUGGAAGUGCUAGGCCAGGACCCUGGGUCUGUAGAGCCUCUGCCAUUGCAAAGGAUGAGCCAGAUGGAAAAAUUCAGCAUGGAGCUGUAUCCCUGAGCCAAGAGGGCACCCCCUUCCCCGUUGGGGGAGCGAUGGCUUGGGAACAAGCCCCCCGUCCCGUGCUCCAGUGCAUCUAGCUGCCUUUGGCCACCAUCCUGAAACAGCAGGGAGCAGGCUUCCUCUUUCCUCACACCCUGGAACCCAGUGAUUGCUCACCAGGAAGCAGAACAACAGAGCUCAGACAGCGAAAGCCUCCCCAUCCCAGCUGUAUGCAAAUUCCCAGCAGGCUGAAAGGACCACCCGCCCACCCAAGACCACCUCCCGGGAAGCCGAGGCCUUGUGUGCAGCCCCAGAGGAGCUUGAGCUGAACGGAGAAUGGGUUGAGGUGGGUGGGACCCAUCACUGUUCUUCCCUUCUCAUUCCUGCGCGUUCCCUGAAGAGUCUCUGGGGCCUACUUUUCCCCCCAUCAGAGACAGAUGUGUCACAUUUAUGGCAUCCCAUUUCCUUCACAGAGAGGCUAUAGAUCCUGUUUCAUUCUGG
rnacentral:lncRNA from 1 species